rnacentral:pre_miRNA from 1 species
UUAAGAACCCUCAGUGCAAUCACUUGUCUGCAUUUGGAGUGAUUACACGGAAGGUUCUUUU